AGUGAACGCUGGCGGUAGGCCUAACACAUGCAAGUCGAACGGCAGCACAGUAAGAGCUUGCUCUUACGGGUGGCGAGUGGCGGACGGGUGAGGAAUACAUCGGAAUCUACUUUUUCGUGGGGGAUAACGUAGGGAAACUUACGCUAAUACCGCAUACGACCUACGGGUGAAAGCAGGGGAUCUUCGGACCUUGCGCGAUUGAAUGAGCCGAUGUCGGAUUAGCUAGUUGGCGGGGUAAAGGCCCACCAAGGCGACGAUCCGUAGCUGGCCUGAGAGGAUGAUCAGCCACACUGGAACUGAGACACGGUCCAGACUCCUACGGGAGGCAGCAGUGGGGAAUAUUGGACAAAGGGCGCAAGCCUGAUCCAGCCAUACCGCGUGGGUGAAGAAGGCCUUCGGGUUGUAAAGCCCUUUUGUUGGGAAAGAAAAGCAGCAGGUUAAUACCCCGCUGUUCUGACGGUACCCAAAGAAUAAGCACCGGCUAACUUCGUG
rnacentral:rRNA from 1 species